UGGGCUCAAUGUGGACCGAAUCUCGAGACAUCAAAUCUUAACAAUCUCCACUUCGACUCGAUAUUCGGCCUCCUUCUAACUCUAAGAGCUUUUGGAUCUCCUCGCCCUCAUGCUCUGGAGCAAUCACCUGUUGAUCAUGGAUAGACAAACAUAGAAGUCGAGCCAGGCCGCUCGAUCCCAUCUCCAUCGUAUGCUAUGCUUCUCCUGACCUGAGACCUACUCGGGGUAUCAUCCUGCGG
rnacentral:lncRNA from 1 species